UAUAUCUCAAGUAAUUUAAAGAAAUAUUUCAGCUGAAUAUUGCUCCCACCUACAACCUUGCUAUCCUGGAGUUUGCAAAAGUUACAAUGAUGAAUGUACAUGUUCAAACGGUUUUCUGGGCAAUAAUUGCUUGCAUUGUAAGUUUUUCUUGAAUCAUAAUUAUUUACCAUUAACUAUUAUCCAAAAAGUAUAAUGACCAGCA
rnacentral:lncRNA from 1 species